CAAAACGACCAUCCUUAGUUGAAAACACUGGUUCUCUUCCAAUCAUUUAAGGUAAGCAAUGUAAGGCCCAGUUAGUACUUGAUGAAAAGUUGACUCGAUGAGAAUUCCAGGUAUAGCUGACC
rnacentral:rRNA from 1 species